AGCGUACACGGUGGAUGCCCUGGCAGUCAGAGGCGAUGAAGGACGUGCUAAUCUGCGAUAAGCGUCGGUAAGGUGAUAUGAACCGUUAUAACCGGCGAUUUCCGAAUGGGGAAACCCAGUGUGUUUCGACACACUAUCAUUAACUGAAUCCAUAGGUUAAUGAGGCGAACCGGGGGAACUGAAACAUCUAAGUACCCCGAGGAAAAGAAAUCAACCGAGAUUCCCCCAGUAGCGGCGAGCGAACGGGGAGGAGCCCAGAGCCUGAAUCAGUGUGUGUGUUAGUGGAAGCGUCUGGAAAGGCGCGCGAUACAGGGUGACAGCCCCGUACACAAAAAUGCACAUACUGUGAGCUCGAUGAGUAGGGCGGGACACGUGGUAUCCUGUCUGAAUAUGGGGGGACCAUCCUCCAAGGCUAAAUACUCCUGACUGACCGAUAGUGAACCAGUACCGUGAGGGAAAGGCGAAAAGAACCCCGGCGAGGGGAGUGAAAAAGAACCUGAAACCGUGUACGUACAAGCAGUGGGAGCCUCUUUAUGGGGUGACUGCGUACCUUUUGUAUAAUGGGUCAGCGACUUAUAUUCUGUAGCAAGGUUAACCGAAUAGGGGAGCCGAAGGGAAACCGAGUCUUAACUGGGCGUUAAGUUGCAGGGUAUAGACCCGAAACCCGGUGAUCUAGCCAUGGGCAGGUUGAAGGUUGGGUAACACUAACUGGAGGACCGAACCGACUAAUGUUGAAAAAUUAGCGGAUGACUUGUGGCUGGGGGUGAAAGGCCAAUCAAACCGGGAGAUAGCUGGUUCUCCCCGAAAGCUAUUUAGGUAGCGCCUCGUGAAUUCAUCUCCGGGGGUAGAGCACUGUUUCGGCAAGGGGGUCAUCCCGACUUACCAACCCGAUGCAAACUGCGAAUACCGGAGAAUGUUAUCACGGGAGACACACGGCGGGUGCUAACGUCCGUCGUGAAGAGGGAAACAACCCAGACCGCCAGCUAAGGUCCCAAAGUCAUGGUUAAGUGGGAAACGAUGUGGGAAGGCCCAGACAGCCAGGAUGUUGGCUUAGAAGCAGCCAUCAUUUAAAGAAAGCGUAAUAGCUCACUGGUCGAGUCGGCCUGCGCGGAAGAUGUAACGGGGCUAAACCAUGCACCGAAGCUGCGGCAGCGACGCUUAUGCGUUGUUGGGUAGGGGAGCGUUCUGUAAGCCUGUGAAGGUGUACUGUGAGGUAUGCUGGAGGUAUCAGAAGUGCGAAUGCUGACAUAAGUAACGAUAAAGCGGGUGAAAAGCCCGCUCGCCGGAAGACCAAGGGUUCCUGUCCAACGUUAAUCGGGGCAGGGUGAGUCGACCCCUAAGGCGAGGCCGAAAGGCGUAGUCGAUGGGAAACAGGUUAAUAUUCCUGUACUUGGUGUUACUGCGAAGGGGGGACGGAGAAGGCUAUGUUGGCCGGGCGACGGUUGUCCCGGUUUAAGCGUGUAGGCUGGUUUUCCAGGCAAAUCCGGAAAAUCAAGGCUGAGGCGUGAUGACGAGGCACUACGGUGCUGAAGCAACAAAUGCCCUGCUUCCAGGAAAAGCCUCUAAGCAUCAGGUAACAUCAAAUCGUACCCCAAACCGACACAGGUGGUCAGGUAGAGAAUACCAAGGCGCUUGAGAGAACUCGGGUGAAGGAACUAGGCAAAAUGGUGCCGUAACUUCGGGAGAAGGCACGCUGAUAUGUAGGUGAAGCGACUUGCUCGUGGAGCUGAAAUCAGUCGAAGAUACCAGCUGGCUGCAACUGUUUAUUAAAAACACAGCACUGUGCAAACACGAAAGUGGACGUAUACGGUGUGACGCCUGCCCGGUGCCGGAAGGUUAAUUGAUGGGGUUAGCGGUAACGCGAAGCUCUUGAUCGAAGCCCCGGUAAACGGCGGCCGUAACUAUAACGGUCCUAAGGUAGCGAAAUUCCUUGUCGGGUAAGUUCCGACCUGCACGAAUGGCGUAAUGAUGGCCAGGCUGUCUCCACCCGAGACUCAGUGAAAUUGAACUCGCUGUGAAGAUGCAGUGUACCCGCGGCAAGACGGAAAGACCCCGUGAACCUUUACUAUAGCUUGACACUGAACAUUGAGCCUUGAUGUGUAGGAUAGGUGGGAGGCUUUGAAGUGUGGACGCCAGUCUGCAUGGAGCCGGCCUUGAAAUACCACCCUUUAAUGUUUGAUGUUCUAACGUUGGCCCCUGAUCGGGGUUGCGGACAGUGUCUGGUGGGUAGUUUGACUGGGGCGGUCUCCUCCUAAAGAGUAACGGAGGAGCACGAAGGUUGGCUAAUCCUGGUCGGACAUCAGGAGGUUAGUGCAAUGGCAUAAGCCAGCUUGACUGCGAGCGUGACGGCGCGAGCAGGUGCGAAAGCAGGUCAUAGUGAUCCGGUGGUUCUGAAUGGAAGGGCCAUCGCUCAACGGAUAAAAGGUACUCCGGGGAUAACAGGCUGAUACCGCCCAAGAGUUCAUAUCGACGGCGGUGUUUGGCACCUCGAUGUCGGCUCAUCACAUCCUGGGGCUGAAGUAGGUCCCAAGGGUAUGGCUGUUCGCCAUUUAAAGUGGUACGCGAGCUGGGUUUAGAACGUCGUGAGACAGUUCGGUCCCUAUCUGCCGUGGGCGCUGGAGAACUGAGGGGGGCUGCUCCUAGUACGAGAGGACCGGAGUGGACGCAUCACUGGUGUUCGGGUUGUCAUGCCAAUGGCACUGCCCGGUAGCUAAAUGCGGAAGAGAUAAGUGCUGAAAGCAUCUAAGCACGAAACUUGCCCCGAGAUGAGUUCU
rnacentral:rRNA from 1 species